rnacentral:rRNA from 1 species
UACGUAGGGGGCAAGCGUUGUCCGGAUUUAUUGGGCGUAAAGAGCGUGUAGGCGGUCAGGUAGGUCCGUUGUGAAAACUCGAGGCUCAACCUCGAGACGCCGAUGGAAACCAUCUGACUAGAGUCCGGGAAGAGGAGAGUGGAAUUCCUGGUGUAGCGGUGAAAUGCGCAGAUAUCAGGAAGAACACCCGUGGCUAAGGCGGCUCUCUAGUACGGUACUGACGCUGAGACGCGAAGCGUGGGAGCGAACAG